rnacentral:tRNA from 1 species
GUUUAUAUAGUUGAAUUACAACGGUGGUUUUUCAAGCCACUGGUUUUGGUUAAAAUCCGAGUAUAAACA